rnacentral:lncRNA from 1 species
GUGCUUUUUUAAUUUUUGGGGGCAUUAUGAUGACCUAUACAUUUUUGUAGUUGUUAAUUUCUGUGUCAUUUAGUCUCUUGGCAAUCAUAAUACAUAUUCUUUUUUAUAUAUGGAGAUGUCGUUAUUACGACAUGUUAUGUCGAAAUUACGACAUAGCGAUGUCGUUAUAACGACAUGUUUUGUCGAAAUUACGACAUAGCAAUAUCGUAAUAACGACAUGUUAUGUCGAAAUUACGACAUGCUAUGUCGUAAUUACGACAUAAAUUUUUUUUUU